AGGCCACACAGCUGGGAAAUGAUAGAAUUAGGACUCCAGAAACAUUCAGAGCUCUUCCUGAGACUGGCAUUGACUGUGGAGAAAUCUCUGCCAGGGCCAGGAAGAGAAUUUUCAGAGGUGACGGAGGCAAUCUAUCCUCUGCCUCUGGGGGAUCAGCUUGUUUGAGUUCUCUGAGAGUCUCUGUGCACGUGCUGCCGAGGAGAUUGCCACCAGACAGCCUCCCCACCAGGAGCAGCGGGUGUCGCCAGGAGACACUGCUCCAGAGGCGUGGGCUGGUGCAGCUCUGCACCUUGGGUGGAGAGGGACGUGUGGUGAGCAGAGCAAGAGGCUGAUCCCCACCUGCCCGAUGGGCAGUGGGAGCCCGAGCAGCUUCCAAGAGGGACCUGGUGGGACCGUGUGUCUGAAAAUCCACCCUGCGAUUUGAGGCUGGACGUUCAAGACUGAGGAGCUGGAAUCGGGUGGGGCCUUCCUGUUGCAUCGUCCACGGAGGACAGGGAAAAGAGGGCAAGAGACUGGACUCCAGCCUCUAGGUCUCUUCCACUCGAUGGCUGCACACCUGCCUAGACCCCGCCCACCAGCACUCUUGCACUGGGAGAAAGACUACGUGAGGACAGAGACACAGAAGGAAGGCCACGUGAGUGCACAGGGCAAGAUGCACCUCAAGCCUGGAAGGCAGCCCUCAGGAGGAACUGGCCCCGCGGACACCCUGAUCUUGGACUUGCAGCCUCCAGAAUGUGAGAAAAUAAGUGUCCAUUGUUCAAGUCGCACAGUUGGUGGCCCUGUGUUAUGGCCUCUUGAUCAGACAUUAUCAACAUGGACAUUCAGGCUCACGGGUGGGAUGGGGUGAGACACACAACCAAGGUAGGUCCCUCCCACCAAAGAAAGGGGAAGGACACUGGUCCCAGGGCAGAGCAGGGUCUCCUGAGAAGUUAGACCUUAUUGUUUUUUAAAGUGUCCAGUCUGUCCUAACUCAGUUCUUAAAAGAAUACAAUAAAUGUAACAUGUUAGACGUAAAAUAUGGUCAGAGUGUCCUCACCCUUGGAUAUCAACUCAAGGUCAAAUCACAGUGUCUAAAUGCCUCCUCUCAA